UGGGCGUAAGCGCGCGCAGGCGGUCCUUUAAGUCUGAUGUGAAAGCCCACGGCUCAUAUCCGUGGAGGGUCAUUGGAAACUGGGGGACUUGAGUGCACAAGAGGAAAGCGGAAUUCCACGUGUAGCGGUGAAAUGCGUAGAGAUGUGGAGGAACACCAGUGGCGAAGGCGGCUUCCUGGUCUGUAACUGACGCUGAGGCGCGAAAGCGUGGGGAGCAAACAGGAUUAGAUACCCUGGUAGUCCACGCCGUAAACGAUGAGUGCUAAGUGUUAGAGGGUUUCCGCCCUUUAGUGCUGCAGCUAACGCAUUAAGCACUCCGCCUGGGGAGUACGGCCGCAAGGCUGAAACUCAAAGGAAUUGACGGGGGCCCGCACAAGCGGUGGAGCAUGUGGUUUAAUUCGAAG
rnacentral:rRNA from 2 species